UACGGAGGAUGCAAGCGUUAUCCGGAAUGAUUGGGCGUAAAGGGUCCGCAGGUGGCAGUGUAAGUCUGCUGUCAAAGAAUGAGGCUUAACCUCAUCAAGGCAGUGGAAACUACACAGCUAGAGUACGGUCGGGGUAGAAGGAAUUCCUGGUGUAGCGGUGAAAUGCGUAGAUAUCAGGAGGAACACCGGUGGCGAAAGCGCUCAUCUGGCCCGAUACUGACGCUGAUGCGCGAAAGCUAGGGGAGCGAACGGG
rnacentral:rRNA from 1 species